CCAGUUUGUCAUAUCUAAGAAAAAUACACAUCCUGCUUGGCUGAGUUGAAAAUUUAGCAGUCUUUGUAGUUCCGUUAUUAAAACAUCCCUAUCUGUCGUUCCUAAAGCAUUAAAUCUUGAUAAUAAGUCUUGAUCUAAUUCACUGUCAACGUCCAUAACGGUAGAAUUGAUAUAAACAAUAUGAAUUUUACCAAAUUCAUCAAAAUAUGAAUUCCAAAAUAUAUAUAUUGUAGAAUGUCAACGAGAAGUGCUAAGUCACAGAAUUCCUUCACAAGAGUUAUCGAAUUCCUUAGUUUUUCCCACAUUCGUUCAGUUCACUUCACCGCAAAUAUCACAAAUUCCUGUCGGUAAGGACAAAUCCUUUAAAGUGAAAGAACUGCAUAGUAAUAAUGACGUCAUUUAUUUUACACACGCGCGGACGUCACGUAGAGUUCGGUCACUGAGCUAUACUAUAUCACUAUAUUACUGGAAGAAGUGCUGAGAUUCU